rfam:Otolemur garnettii contig004787, whole genome shotgun sequence.
UCUAGGUGCAAUGGUGUAAGCUUAUAGUCUUGGCUGUUCGGAAGGAUGAAGCAGGAAGAUCACUUGAGCCCAGGAGCACUGGGCUGUAGAGUACUAUACUGGUUGUGUAUCUACACUAAGUUCAGCAUCGAUAUGGUGACAUCCCAGGAGUGGUAAACCACCACAUCAUCUGAGAAGGGGUGAUCCAGCCCAUAGCAGGUCAAAAUUCUCAUGCUGACCAAUAGUGUAUACCUGUGAAUAGCCAUUGCACUCCAGCCUGGGCAACAUAGUGAAACCUCAUGUCUU